UAUGAUCAAAGUCAUAUUGGAAAAUGACAAAUCAUUCAUCAAGAACCACAACCCUAAGUUACAGAGGUGAUCAAAUGCAUCUGAAAGGCCUUUUCUCUCACAGUUGCUACGGUACAUACUGCUUCUGCGGAAGAAGAAACGAUGAGAGAGAUAACUCCCCUUUGAUCAUACCACUGUCUCAUCACAUCGUCUUCCCCUGACUUUGUGCAGUCUCCUUCUAACUGGAUUCCCUGUAUCUUUCCCAAUCAAUAUGCCAUCUAA